CUCGUAACGCUCACCAUUCUUUUUCACACUCACUCCGAAGACGAGGUCUCGCACUGCCGAGUAAAGAGCUAUCCUGGGGAAAAGACAGUGCCAGGCACCCUGCUUUGCACAACGGGGAUUCCAUGGUUGCUGACCUCAUUCAUUCAUUCUUCUCUUCUUGAUUCUUGGAAACAUCCAUGGAAAACAAAGACUCCUGCCCUCAUGGAGCUUAUACUCUACAGUGGGAGUCUUUUCCUUUCAUUUCACGUGCCAUGCGAGGAUACAUCAAGAAGACAAUAGUCUGUGAGCCAGGGAGAGUCCUCCUGAGAAACCAAAACCACCAACACUUUCAUCUCCUCCUUCUAGCCUCCAGAACUGUGA